UGGCUCUGGCAUCGAUGAAGAACGCAGCGAAAUGCGAUAAGUAAUGUGAAUUGCAGAAUUCAGUGAAUCAUCGAAUCUUUGAACGCACAUUGCGCCCCUCGGCAUUCCGAGGGGCAUGCCUGUUCGAGCGUCAUUAGAAGACCGUCAAGCUCCGGCUUGGGGAUUGGGCGUCGUCCCGGCUUGCGGGACGCGCCCCAAAGACCUCGGCGGCGGCCCCGGUGCCUCGAGCGUAGUAGAAACAUCGCCGCUCACGGAGGCCCCGGGUCGCCAGCUCCUAAAAGACCCAUAUCCAAUGGUUGACCUCGGAUCAGGUAGGGAUACCCGCUGA
rnacentral:misc_RNA from 1 species